UACACAUGUGAUCUGGGAUCUUUAAGCCAUGCCCAUCAGCUUAUUCUUAGGCUAAGCCAAAUCAGGAAGAAAAGGGCAGUGAGCCAGCACUCAGAUGUUAACUUUGUUUGCAAUAGUUCCACACAGAGUGUUCAGCUAAGCUCCAACUUCUAAUCCAUAUGAUGCAGUUAGAAAGGAGAAGGAAGAAAGCCGCACAAAGACAUAGGACAGAGAUAGCUACCAGCCCGAGGAAUGUGUCUGUUGCAGCACUGUCCCCCUCUUCACAGCAGAGAAGUCAGGCACCAAUCAGUUGCAUUUCUGUGCCACUCAAUACCAAUCAGCACUGACUGAGAACUUCCCUGUUUCAGACCCUUAGGUGAGUACAGUGGGGUGAUAGUGAUGGAUAAGAUAUGGCCUCUACCCAUACCAAGAGGCAGUAUGGGACAGUGGGAAUUCCAUGGCCUUGGGUUCAGCCAGUCCCUAUUCUCACUAGGUAUAUGAACUUCAACUCAUUAUCUGAUGUUUCCUUAUCAGUAAAAUGUAGAUGAAUAGUAGUACCAUCUGAAGGGGUUGUUUGAUGAACAAACAAGAUAAUCCUUUUCAAGCACUUAUCAGGGAGCCUGACAAAUAGGACAACCUUUAAUAAAUAUUAGCUACAAUGAAUUAUCCAUCAAAGUGAGCUCAGUCUAUGGGGGAAAAUGAUACAGGCAACCAAGUUAGAUCAUCUUGGAUGUUCUCUAUCAGAGAGAGGGCAUUCUGACUGAAGGAUUGAGAGGAGGCUUUGCAGAGUGAAGACAUUUAAGUUAGAAACUGAAUAAUGAUCAUUUUGGCAAUUAGUCAAAAAAAAA